rnacentral:tRNA from 1 species
GAGGGUAUAGCUCAAGUGGUAGAGCGUGUACUUAGCAUGCCAAGGUCCUGGUUCCAAUCCCAGGUACCUCCA